GACGGAGGAUGCAAGCGUUAUCCGGAAUGAUUGGGCGUAAAGCGUCCGCAGGUGGCAGUUCAAGUCUGCUGUCAAAGACCGGGGCUUAACUUCGGAAAGGCAGUGGAAACUGAACAGCUAGAGUAUGGUAGGGGCAGAGGGAAUUCCUGGUGUAGCGGUGAAAUGCGUAGAUAUCGAGAGGAACACCUGCGGCGAAGGCGGGUUGCUGGGCUGACACUGACGCUGAGGCGCGAAAGCCAGGGGAGCGAACGGG
rnacentral:rRNA from 1 species